rnacentral:lncRNA from 1 species
AUGGCUGAUCGAUGAUUAUGAAUCAUUGAAGGGAUUAAUUAUCAAUGUGAUUGAUAAUUAACCCUGUGCAAAGAUUGCAACAAAUUUUUACAAUGAUUGAUAAAUUAGAAGAAUAAUUAAUUAACAAUUUAAUUAUUAUUGGCUCAAUUUGAUUGAGCAACGGGGAUUGGAUCAAAUUUAAUUAAAUUGGAUUCAAUUAGGUUUGCUUUGGAUUGAUUGGAUGCAGUCCUAAUGAAUAAUAGGAC